UACGUAGGGUGCAGGCGUUAAUCGGACUUACUGGGCGUAAAGCGUGCGCAGGCGGUUUGCUAAGACAGGUGUGAAAUCCCCGGGCUUAACCUGGGAACUGCGCUUGUAACUGGCAAGCUUGAGUGUGGCAGAGGGGGGUGGAAUUCCACGUGUAGCAGUGAAAUGCGUAGAGAUGUGGAGGAACACCGAUGGCGAAGGCAGCCCCCUGGGCUAACACUGACGCUCAUGCACGAAAGCGUGGGGAGCAAACAGG
rnacentral:rRNA from 1 species